CCUCGGGCGGCUGCAGUCGGGAAAACUUUACAAUGCACGCAAGUGUGAUAAGGGAACCCAAAGUGCUUGCCUAAUGGCGGGCUUUUAUAGAGUGUAAACAGCUUUAUGAAUAAGUGGUGGGUAAGACUGGUGCCAGCCGCCGCGGUAACACCAGCGCCACAAGUGGUAAUCAGUAUUAUUGGGCCUAAAGCGUCUGUAGCCGAUUUGGACAGUCUUUUGUUAAAUCGUUAAGCUUAAUUUAGCGACUGCAAGGGAAACUGCCAAGUUAGAGAUCGGGAGGAGUCAGAAGUACUCAAGGGGGAGCGGUAAAAUGUGAUAAUCCCUCGAGGACUACCUGUGGCGAAGGCGUCUGACUAGAACGAAUCUGACGGUGAGAGACGAAAGCUAGGGGAGCAAAACGGAUUAGAUACCCGCGUAGUC
rnacentral:rRNA from 1 species